UCUGNAACGGNNGCUAAUCCGCAUACGUCGCAAGACCAAGAGGGGGACCUUCGGGCCUCUUGCCAUCGGAUGUGCCCAGAUGGGAUUAGCUAGUAGGUGGGGUAACGGCUCACCUAGGCGACGAUCCCUAGCUGGUCUGAGAGGAUGACCAGCCACACUGGAACUGAGACACGGUCCAGACUCCUACNGGAGGCAGCAGUGGGGAAUAUUGCACAAUGGGCGCAAGCCUGAUGCAGCCAUGCCGCGUGUAUGAAGAAGGCCUUCGGGUUGUAAAGUACUUUCAGCGGGGAGGAAGGGAGUNAAGUUNAUACCUUUGCUCAUUGACGUUACCCGCAGAAGAAGCACCGGCUAACUCCGUGCCAGCAGCCGCGGUNAUACGGAGGGUGCAAGCGUUAAUCGGAAUUACUGGGCGUAAAGCGCACGCAGGCGGUUUGUUANGUCAGAUGUGAAAUCCCGGGCUCAACCUGGGAACUGCAUCUGAUACUGGCAAGCUUGAGUCUCGUAGAGGGGGGUAGAAUUCCAGNGUACGGUGAAUGCGUAANAUCUGAAGAUACCGGUGGCGAAGCGCCCCUGGACAANAUGACCUCAGUCGAAGCUGGGACAACAGAUAAUNCCUGUAGNCCGCNUAACAUUCACUGAGUGGCCUGAGCUGCUCGACUACCGUAGNACGCUGNAACGCCAGUAACCAUAUNCGGCCCACGGANUNGUUAUAUCCNAACUCNNUAUCNAUUCAGNNGNCUGACGNAGNUUGUNNNUUNAAUGNACCNACCUCUNCCGCCGAAAACUUAUGAGGAUCNUCUAGCCUUNAAAACAACNGUCU
rnacentral:rRNA from 1 species